rnacentral:tRNA from 1 species
GGCUCCAUAGCUCAGUUGGUUAGAGCGCCAGUCUCGUAAACUGGAGGUCGCGAGUUCGAUUCUCGCUGGAGCCU